rnacentral:lncRNA from 1 species
ACCUGGGGCGGGGGGAGGGGGGACGGAUCCUCGACCCAGACUGAGCCUCUCCCUUUCUUUUUAUAGGUUUGAAAAUUUGUGCGCAAUUCUACUUGACCCAGAAAAGGACAGAGCUGUAAUUGGAUUCAGUCUCCUUCCUCCUCCGGUUCCUUGCUUGCCUAUCUCUUCACACUAUUUUGCUGGUAACUGAACGUAUAGAUUAUUAUUUGCAAGAGUCAGCGAUGCAGAAAUGGGCAUGCGUGUGCGCACGUGCGUGUGUAUUGUGCACAUGUGCAUACACCUACGUGUGAACAUCUCGUGGACUCUUGGCACAGAUUUUCUCCAAACGUUGAAAGAGUGAAGGUCUUUCGAGACAGGAUCCAGGCUGAACAGAGGGCCCGCCAUCCCGGAGCUAUACCUCCAAGAACACGUGACCUCCUCGGGUGACGGGACAGAGGAAGAAGGUCUCACGCUGAUAAUUAAAGGUUUUGGCCUGGAAGUGACGUGCUUCACUUCUGCUCCAGAACAUAGUCCUGCCUGACUGGAAAGGGAGCAGAGAGAUGUGCUCUCCUCACAUGCUCCGAGGGAGAGGCAGAGAAGAAAUG